rnacentral:rRNA from 1 species
UACAGAGGUCCCAAGCGUUGUUCGGAUUUACUGGGCGUAAAGGGUGCGUAGGUGGCGGGGUAAGUCGGAUGUGAAAUCUCGGAGCUCAACUCCGAAAUGGCAUUGGAAACUACCCUGCUAGAGGGUCGGAGGGGGGACUGGAAUACUUGGUGUAGCAGUGAAAUGCGUAGAUAUCAAGUGGAACACCAGUGGCGAAGGCGAGUCCCUGGACGACUCCUGACACUGAGGCACGAAAGCUAGGGGAGCAAACAGG